rnacentral:lncRNA from 1 species
UCGUUUUUCUGCUUCUGCUCUUUUGUCCUCGAUAUCUUCGAAGUAUCAACCUCGAUACUUUAAAAGUACCCAAUACCCGACCCCCUUAUCCCGCUAUGACUGUAUCCUGACGACAAACCUAAUCUGGCAGCGCUUAAAGAUAGUAAAUACGUCAUGAGUACGAAUGAAGCGGGUUCGGAUGGAAUCUAGUACUGCCUUGUGAAGCAAUUCAUCAAAUCCGCAUGUGCCAAAUCACUACAGUUGCAGCAGCCGCAGCAGCGCAC